rnacentral:rRNA from 1 species
AUCUGGCUCAGGAUGAACGCUAGCGACAGGCUUAACACAUGCAAGUCGAGGGGCAGCAUAGAAGUAGCAAUACUUUGGUGGCGACCGGCGCACGGGUGAGUAACGCGUAUGCAACCUACCUAUCAGAGGGGAAUAACCCGGCGAAAGUCGGACUAAUACCGCAUAAAACAGGGGCACCGCAUGGUGAUAUUUGUUAAAGAAAUUCGCUGAUAGAUGGGCAUGCGUUCCAUUAGGUAGUUGGUGAGGUAACGGCUCACCAAGCCGACGAUGGAUAGGGGAACUGAGAGGUUGGUCCCCCACACUGGUACUGAGACACGGACCAGACUCCUACGGGAGGCAGCAGUGAGGAAUAUUGGUCAAUGGGCGGGAGCCUGAACCAGCCAAGUCGCCGUGAAGGAAGAAGGAUCUAUGGUUCGUAAACUUCUUUUGCAGGGGAAUAAAGUGCAGGACGUGUCCUGUUUUGUAUGUACCCUGAGAAUAAGGAUCGGCUAACUCCGUGCCAGCCGCCGC